rnacentral:rRNA from 1 species
GAUCAACGCUGGCGGCGUGCCUAAUGCAUGCAAGUCGAACGGGGUGCCUUCGGGCGCUCACGUGGCGGACGGGUGCGUAACACGUGGGCAAUCUGCCCCGGGGCGGGGGAUAGCCAUCGGAAACGGUGGGUAAUUCCGCGUACGCUCGCCUGGCAGUGGGCCGGGCGAGGAAAGGCGCAAGCCACCCUGGGAGGAGCCUGCGGCCGAUUAGCUGGUUGGUGGGGUAACGGCCUACCAAGGCGAUGAUCGGUAGCUGGUCUGAGAGGACGGCCAGCCACACGGGGACUGAGAGACGGCCCCGACUCCUACGGGAGGCAGCAGCAAGGAAUCUUCCGCAAUGGGCGAAAGCCUGACGGAGCAACGCCGCGUGGGGGAGGACGCUUUUCGGAGUGUAAACCCCUUUUCUCGGGGACGAAGCACUGACGGUACCCGAGGAAGAAGGACCGGCUAACUACGUGCCAGCAGCCGCGGUAA